ensembl:lncRNA
GUGAGAUACAUUUCUCUAAGUGCAUCUUGUGGCUGCAAGUGGGAGAGGCAGGGCCUGAAUCUGGCCAAGAGAUCUCAGGACAAAGCUAAAUCGCAUUUCCAAAGCCAGUCCUUAGACUUGUUCAAGUGUAAGCAGCUUUCACUAAACAGAAGUUUGAUGAGCCGAGCAGGAGUGAAUCAGAAACACGAGGCUGAUGUUUGUCUUCAUCUGCAAGGGGGUUUGGCAGUCUCCAGGCUCCCUUGGCAAGCAGGAUUUGGGCGCUGCCAAAACCUGGAGCUCUGGCGUGAUAGCGUGACCCUUCCGGUCAGGCCAGGCCUCCCGCCCGCCUUCCUGCUGUUCAAAUCAGAGUCUCGGCCUCUCAUGGCCUCUCCUGCUGCUUCACCCUUGAGCCCCGAGGACAGAGUGGCAGGAGGCGUCUCUGUAACCACAUCACGUGUGGGGGAAAAAUGGCACAGAGCGCUCUUUCCUGGAGCGCGGUCAAUGCAGCAGUACCCCAGGUGCCAGGAAACCCAAGCCUUGGAAACUGUGGCUGCAGGUUCCAUCCCCAGGUUGUGGGUGUGGACCACAUUUGCACCAGCAGCUGGACAAAGGUGAGAGGCUGAGGGCUGCCCAGGCCCCUGGAGGACCAGAGAGAAGCCCGCUUAGGGCAGGCUGGCUACUUGUUUGUCCUGACAUGGUUGUCCUGAAUCCACAGGGGAGGAUGGCGAACGACAGGAGUCCUCCCUGCUGCAAUCUUGAAGUGCACCCUCGUUUCAGAAGAGCAGCUCACUUCUCCAGACAAGAGUGCUGCUGAAUUUUAAAGAGGAUUCCACAUCUAUGCUAAAGGAACAUCAGAGGCGCCUUUGGACUGCUCAUGACUGGGGACUAAUUCUCGACCUGGAAGGAAGCAGGCACGAUGCUUCUUCAUUGGGAACGAUGCCUAUCAUUGCGUCAAGACUCUUUGCAUACCUUUAAGGUCAGUUCACCUUUGCUGAGCUUGAAUCCAAGCUACAGGUUGGGGGCCCAGCUCUGCUUUACCAGUCUCUGCUUAUCCAUGGACCAGUGGGCCGACUGGAACAUACUCUUCUCACGGCGAGGGCAGAAGUCAGACAGAAGCACUUGAGGGGAAACCUGAGUUUCUCCUAACAUCGAGGCUUGUAUUGGUACACUGUCACUUCUACCCACAUUCUAUUGGCCAAAACAAAUCCUAUGGACAAGCCCAACCUUAGUCGGGCAGGGAAAGACACUCUGUCUUGGGUGAGAAGCACGCCAAAGGCAUAUCCAAAGAGCAAGCAUACAGGAAGGGAUCAAGAAUUGGACGCAAUAGCAAUAGUGUAAUCCAUCUCAGGGGAUAUUAGGCUAAAGGGGGUUUGCUCUCCCAGACCUCUAGUGGGGGGGUGGUUAGUUGAGUUUAUUCAACCAGAUGCAGGCUAAGAAGGAAAAAGGAAGUGACCAUAGGUCAGUUUUGUCUACUGGAAGCAGGAUGCAGAGACAGGGGACUCACUUGUAUUGAAAAUAUGAAUAUCUUAAGAGGAGAGAGUAGAGGAGGAAGAGAUGGACAGAGAUCCUCAUGAUUCAGAAUAUAAUCCAUGCUGCUCUGGUAAGUAUGGCCCAUGGAUGGAUGGACUCUCUCCAUUCUCCAGUCAGAUGAGUCAUUUUUCUUCCCAUAGGAUGGGGGCAGCUAGAGAAUGGGGAGAGGAAUGGCAAACGUUCAUGACUAUUGCUCCUUUCUGAGGAGGGGAAGCAGGAAUCCUCUG